rnacentral:rRNA from 1 species
UGGUAGGGAAGGGAGGAUGGGAAGAGGAAGCUUCAUUGGAGGUCAUGGUCCUGGCUCUCGACUCCAAAGUCGCUUGGUGGCAUGGGUUUCUGUGAUAUGGCCAUAUUCAACCAAGCGAUGCUGGGUAAACAAGGGUGGAGACUUCUGACUGAACCUGGCUCCUUGUGUGCUAGAGUUCUGAAAGGUAGAUACUAUUCUAAUGGCAGCUUCUGGAAUGCUUCGGUGCCAUGAACGGCUUCAGCUACAUGGCGUGGUAUAAUCCAUGGUCGUGAUCUUCUGAAGAGGGGGGUGCGGUGGGGGAUUGGGGACGGGCGACAUACAAAUAUCCUCACUGAUCAUUGGAUCCCG